AUCAGCCAAUCAGAAGACUCUUUUUUGACAUGUCAGCAAGGCUCUGGUAAUGUUGGGCUUGCGUUUUUUUUAGCCCAAAUGUUGAAUCUGAAUGGCCACUCAGACAUUAAUCAAUCUAAGAUCAAACGAAAGGGCAUGUGUUUGAAUCAGACAGAGAGAGGAGUACGGUUCGAGUUCUUGGAUUUGUUGAGGAUUGUGUCUGUGGUAACUUUUUUUCCGAGGAGGUUUAUUAUCGUCGGCGUCUUGAUCUUCGCCGGAGAUACCUUAGACGUUAUCACUUUCAGAUCUGCUCUCAUGAUCCUCUUCACGGCUUCUUUUGUUCGUCGCUUCCCUUCGAAAUUAUUAUCGUUAUUGUUGUUCCUCAUGGACGCUUCUCCACGAUCGUGAACUGCUCAAUCACAGGAAAACAAAGAGGAUGAGGGAGAAGAAACCCAGAAAAAUAAUGGAGGAGAGAGAAGGAGAACGAAAGCUGAUUUUCUUUUCCUAAUUUUUCUAUCUUCUUGGCUCUUCGUUCUCAGUCUCUCUUCUAUUUCCGUUUGCUCUUCCUCUUCUUUGUUUCCGAUAUGAGUUAUUCAAUGACCUCAACUGAGUUUUCCUUUUCUGUGUCCUUAGGUUUUCCUAGACGACCACCGUCUCUUGAAAGUCCAGCCGGUAACACCUCUGAGCGAUUUCAAUUGAUACAGUUACCGCUGUAAAUCAUUGCACUGAAUCGGAGCUCUCGCUACUUAGUCUUCAAUUCUAUAUCAACGUGUGUGGUGUGGAGCCCGGCGGAGCUGCUUCAAAACGGCUGAAGCUUUGGAAGCGAGCACAGAUCUGGUUUCUUCCUCUUCACGAUUUUGCUAGAGGACGGUGAGGACGAAGUGGUGGUUUUUAGAUCUGUUUCGAGCGGAAGCGAUGGAGGUCGUGAUGAGCAGCUUCGGGUAUAGAUCGGCAUGGAGGGAAACACGGCGAGUCAAGAUUGGCCAGUGGAGAUCGCUUGCCCCGGCGAGAUCCACAGAGAAAUCAGAAACAGAACUAAAGCUGAUACAAAAAAACAUUCGUUAUGACAACAGUGAUGAUAAUGAAGUUAUGGGAUCCACAUUCGUCUUUUACUCGAGCAUCCUCUUUGAGAAACGCCAAAUGAAAGACUGUGAAAGGAUCAUCUAUACAAUGUACACACAUGUUGGUGACUAAGUUUGCAACAUCUUAGAAACAAUGAAAUAGCCGGUGAGGAGAUUCGUUUAUGAAAAUUUGAUUCUCACUUGAUGUAUGUUCCCUAUGAUUAUAGAUAAAUAAGCGACAUUAAUGAGCUCUCAAGUAUCUUAUAGAUUUCCAGUGGGAAAAAGGUUGAAGAACCAAAAGAGUUCACACUUGAGCUGUUCUUUGAGGCUUAUUGCACUGAAGAACAAUGAGAUUGCCGGUUUGGAGAACCCUUAGAACACUGUCUUCACCAAGACAUCUCACAUGAUUGAUAAAGAUAAGCUUAUCCUCGAGAUGGCCAUUGGGUCCAGGAGUAACAAGAGAAGCUGGAGUAUGAUGAAAGGAAGCCAAAAGUGAAAAGAAAAGGAGAGGAGAGAUUCAUCACGAGUGUGUUGUAUAUAUACCCUAUGUGUCUCAGUUUUUUCACCAGACCAAUAGUGUAAGAAUUUAUUGUCACUCGUGAUGAUGGCCAAUAGAUAAAAGAAAAUAAUGACCUCUCCAACAAGAGGUCGUAUUUUUUUUUUUUUCACUCGUGAUAUAAAUAUAAAGUUUUGGCCU